rnacentral:rRNA from 1 species
CCUACGGGAGGCAGCAGUGAGGAAUAUUGGUCAAUGGACGAAAGUCUGAACCAGCCAUGCCGCGUGCAGGAAGACGGCUCUAUGAGUUGUAAACUGCUUUUGAACGGGGGUAAACGCAGGUACGCGGAUCGGUCUAAAAGUAUCGUAAGAAUAAGGAUCGGCUAAAUCCGUGCCAGCAGCCGCGGUAAUACGGAGGAUUCAAGCGUUAUCCGGAUUUAUUGGGUUUAAAGGGUGCGUAGGCGGACGGUUAAGUUCGAGGUUAAAUGACGAGGCUCAACUUCGGAUAUGCCUCUGAUACUGUUCGGCUUGAGAGUAGGAGCGGUAGGCGGAAUGUGUGGUGUAGCGGUGAAAUGCUUAGAGAUCAUACAGAACACCGAUUGCGAAGGCAGCUUACCGGGCUACUUCUGACGUUGAGGCACGAAAGCGUGGGGAGCAAACAGGAUUAGAUACCCUUGUAGUC